rnacentral:rRNA from 1 species
CCUACGGGCGGCAGCAGUGAGGAAUAUUGGUCAAUGGACGAGAGUCUGAACCAGCCAAGUAGCGUGAAGGAUGACUGCCCUAUGGGUUGUAAACUUCUUUUAUAUGGGAAUAAAAUGUUCCACGUGUGGGAUUUUGUAUGUACCAUAUGAAUAAGGAUCGGCUAACUCCGUGCCAUCAGCCGCGGUAAUACGGAGGAUCCGAGCAUUAACCGGAUUUAUUGGGUUUAAAGGGAGCGUAGGUGGCUUGUUGAGUCAGUUGUGAAAGUUUGCGGCGCAACCGUAAAAUUGCAGUUGAAACUGGCAGUCUUGAGUACAGUAGAGGUGGGCGGAAUGCGUGGUGUAGCGGUGAAAUGCUUAGAUAUCACGAAGAACUCCGAUUGCGAAGGCAGCUCACUGGACUGCAACUGACACUGAGGCUCGAAAGUGUGGGUAUCAAACAGGAUUAGAUACCCGUGUAGUC